GAUGAACGCUGGCGGCGUGCCUAAUACAUGCAAGUCGAGCGAACGGACGAGAAGCUUGCUUCUCUGAUGUUAGCGGCGGACGGGUGAGUAACACGUGGAUAACCUCCCUAUAAGACUGGGAUAACUUCGGGAAACCGGAGCUAAUACCGGAUAAUAUUUUGAACCGCAUGGUUCAAUAGUGAAAGACGGUCUUGCUGUCACUUAUAGAUGGAUCCGCGCUGCAUUAGCUAGUUGGUAAGGUAACGGCUUACCAAGGCAACGAUGCAUAGCCGACCUGAGAGGGUGAUCGGCCACACUGGAACUGAGACACGGUCCAUACUCCUACGGGAGGCAGCAGUAGGGAAUCUUCCGCAAUGGGCGAAAGCCCGACGGAGCAACGCCGCGUGAGUGAUGAAGGUCUUCGGAUCGUAAAACUCUGUUAUUAGGGAAGAACAUAUGUGUAAGUAACUGUGCACAUCUUGACGGUACCUAAUCAGAAAGCCACGGCUAACUACGUG
rnacentral:rRNA from 1 species